rnacentral:rRNA from 1 species
UACCAGCACCCCGAGUGGUCGGGACGAUUAUUGGGCCUAAAGCAUCCGUAGCCGGUUCUGCAAGUCUUCCGUUAAAUCCACCUGCUUAACAGAUGGGCCGCGGAAGAUACUAUAGAGCUAGGAGGCGGGAGAGGCAAGCGGUACUCGAUGGGUAGGGGUAAAAUCCGUUGAUCCAUUGAAGACCACCAGUGGCGAAGGCGGCUCACUGGCCCGGUACUGACGCUGAGGUGCGAAAGCGUGGGGAGCAAACAGG